rnacentral:rRNA from 1 species
GACGUAGGGGACGAACGUUGUCCGGAUUCAUUGGGCGUAAAGCGCGCGUAGGCGGUUACGCAAGUCGGUUGUGAAAAUCCGGGGCUCAACCCCGGACCUGCAUCCGAUACUGCGUGACUAGAGGUAGGUAGGGGAGAUCGGAAUUCCUGGUGUAGCGGUGAAAUGACGCAGAUAUCAGGAGGAACACCGGUGGCGAAGGCGGAUCUCUGGGCCGAUACUGACGCUGAGGAGCGAAAGCGUGGGGAGCGAACAGG